GACUUUUGUUAAUAAUGCUGUCAGGUGGAUGACUUGGCUUGGGCGCUGAAGAAGGGCGUGACCAGCUACGAUAUGUCCCGGCGAGGCGCAUGUAGCCUUUGAACCGGGAAUACCUGAAUGCGACUUCGCAUACAAUCCGAAAGGAUAGGAAAUGCAGGGAAUUGAAACGUCUUAGUACCUGCAAGAAAAGAAAUCAAUUGAGAUGCUGCUAGUAAGGGCGACUGAACACAGCACAAGGCAAACUGAAUCUCUUUCCGCAAGGGAAGAGAGAUGUGGUGUUAUAGGCUGUUCGCAUGAAUCCUUUCUAGGGAAUCCGAACUCCUCUGGAAAGAGGGGCUGCAAAGAGUGAUAGCCUCGUAGGAGAAACUUAGAGGGAUUUGAACAGUACCUUGAGUACCGUUUAUUGGAUAUUAAACGGGAAUGCGGGAGGCAUCAACUUCCAACCUUAAAUACGUCCCAAGUCCGAUAGCAAAGUAGUACCAUGAGGGAACGUUGAAAAGAACCCUCAACCGGAAGUUAAAAGAGCCUGAAACCUGACAGCUAUCGCGAGGCACUGCUCUAAGGAGUUGUGCCGUCCGUUUUGAAUAACGGGCCAGGGAGUAUAUUCGAGUGGCAAGGAUAACCUUAUUGGGUAUCCACAGCGAAAGCAACUUGCCUGCAACUUGUGAGAGGCGAGGUAUGAAAGUGCCUGGAGUCACUCGGAUUCGACCCGAAGCCGGGCGAUCUAGCCCUUGGCAAGGUGAAAUGCGGGUAAAACCGCAUGGAGGCCUGCAGAGGUUCUACGUGCAAGUGUUCUUCUGACCUGGGGCUAGGGGUGAAAAGCCAAUCGAGCCUGGUGAUAGCUGGUUCCUACCGAAGUUGGCCGCAGUCAAGCCUUGGAGGAGCAGGCCAUGACUGUAGAGAUACGGAUUGAGAGCUUAGGUCUCGAAAGGGAUCGGCUUUCUGUCCAACUCCGAAUAUUAUGGCUGCAUAGAUUCCAAGAGACGGGAGUACCUGGGGUAAACUUGUACUCCGAGAGGGGAACAACCCAGACUGCAGUUAAGGUCCCUAAAUAUCGGCUAAGUGUGAAAGGGUAAAGAGUGUCUAUUGUCAAAGACAGCGAGGAGGUUGGCUUAGAAGCAGCCACCCUUUAAAAAGUGCGUAACAGCUUACUUGUCAAGAUGAUAGGCCUUAAAGAUGGACGGGGCUAAGCCGAUUACCGAUACUGCAGACAUGCUAAAAGCAUAGUAGUAGGUAGGCGUUCUGCUAGGGUAGAAGUAUCCUCGCAAGAGGGUAUGGACCUUGUAGAAAUGAGAAUCCUGGCGGUAGUAGGAUCUGAGUACUGUGAGAAUCAGUACCACCGGAAGGGCUAGGGUUCCUUGGCAAUAUAGGUUAGCCAAGGGUUAGUCGAUCCUAACUUAGCUCAUAACAUGAGCUAUAUAGGAAUGGGAAAAAGGUUAAUAUUCCUUUACCAUCCGGAUAUGUGCGGCGACGCAAGUCUUGCUGUUGACGUUUCGGGUUAGGCCAACAUAUCUUGUCUGAUAUGUCAACCGGAACAAGUCAAGGGAGUAUCGUAAUGAUGAGAACUUGAUUAAUUCCGGGAUAAGUAUUCCUUUGGAGUAUUUGGCUCAUACCUGGAGCCCCUGAAAAAGCAGCAGGAAUAAAUUCUGGAUGUUCGUACCAAGAACCAGCACUGGUGCCCCUAGGUGAGGAGCCUAAGGUGAGAAGGUCUAAUCUAAUUGAGGGAACUCGGCAAAUUGGCCCCGUGCCUUCGGCAUAAGGGGUCCCUGCGAUCGUUCUUAAGGAUGCGAUUGCAGGGUGCAAUGACUAAGUGAGUCCGACUGUUUAACAAAAACCUAACUGACUGCAAGCCUGUAAAGGUGUGUAUAGUCAGUGACGUCUGCCCAGUGCGCGUACUUUAAACUCCUUUCCAAGGGAGCUAAGAGCGCGUAAACGGCGGGGGUAACUAUAACUCUCUUAAGGUAGCGUAAUACCUUGUCGUUUGAUUGACGACUUGCAUGAAUGGCGUAACGAGAUUCACACUGUCCCCAAUUAGAAGCCUCCGAAUACUUUGUACUGGUGCAAAAACCAGUGAUUUCCAGUGGGAAGCGAAGACCCCGUGAAACUUUACUGUAGCCUGAUGCUGCAAUGUAAGCUUUGAUACGUAGCGUAGGUGGGAGUUGCCAAAGCUUGACUUUCGGGUUGAGUGUAGACACCAAUGAAACACCACUUGUCGGAAUUUACGUUGCUAACCCUGAAAAGGGAACACCAUUUGGUGGACAGUUUGGCUGGGGUGGCACCCUGCUGAAAAUGUAUCAGCAGGGCCCAAUGGUUGACUCAAGCGGGUCAGGAAUCCGCUGUAGAGUGCAAGGGCAAAAGUCAGCCUAACUGGAUUCAUACCAAGAUUGUAUCCAGAGCAGAAAUGCGGGCCUAGCGAACUCCUAUGCCCUCCUUGAUGGGGGCUAGGAAUGACCGAAAAGUUACUCCGGGGAUAACAGAGUUGUCCCGCCCGAGAGUUCACAUCGACGGCGGGGCUUGCUACAUCGAUGUCGGCUCUUCCUAUCCUGGCCGUGCAGAAGCGGCCAAGGGUGCGGGUGUUCACCGAUUAAAAGGAAUCGUGAGCUGGGUUCAGAACGCUGUGAGGCAGUUUGUUUGAUAUCUACUGGAAGUGUUGUUGUCUGAUGGGAAGGGAGCCAUAGUACGAGAGGAACUGGCUCUCGAGGCCUCUGGUCUACCUGUUAUCCGACAGGGUAUGCAGGGCAGCUACGCCUUGUAGGGAUAAGCGCUGAAAGCAUCUAAGCGCGAAGCCCUCCUAGAAAAUAGACAACGCAGAACUCCCGCAAAAUACGGGUUUGAUGGAGCAGGAGUGUAAGCACGAAGGCAACGACGUGUUCAGCUCGCUGCCACCAAAAGUUCAUGCCUUAAGUCUA
rnacentral:rRNA from 1 species